rnacentral:rRNA from 1 species
GACGAACGCUGGCGGCGUGCCUAAUACAUGCAAGUCGAACGCAGUGGGGACGGGUGAGUAACACGUGGGUAACCUCCCAUCAGAGGGGAUAACACUUGGAAACAGGUGCUAAACCGAUACUGAUGGAUGGACCCGCGGUGCAUUAGCUAGCUGGUGAGGUAACGGCUCACCAAGGCCACGAUGCAUAGCCGAGCUGAGAGGGUGAUGGGACGCACUGAGACGGAGACACGGCCCGUAAUCCUACGGGGGGCAACAGUAAGGGGUGUUCGGCGAGGGACGAAGGUCUGGCCGAGCAACGCCGAGGAAGUGAAGAAAGUUUUCGGAUCGUAAAACUCUGUUGUUAGAGAAGAGGUAUCUAACCAGAAAGCCACGGCUAACUACGUGCCAGCAGCCGCGGUAAUAC